UACGUAGGGUGCAAGCGUUGUCCGGAAUUAUUGGGCGUAAAGAGCUCGUAGGCGGUCUGUCGCGUCUGCUGUGAAAACUCAGGGCUUAACCCUGAGCUUGCAGUGGGUACGGGCAGACUAGAGUGCGGUAGGGGAGACUGGAAUUCCUGGUGUAGCGGUGAAAUGCGUAGAUAUCGAGAGGAACACCUGCGGCGAAGGCGGGUUGCUGGGCCGACACUGACGCUGAUGCGCGAAAGCCAGGGGAGCGAACGGG
rnacentral:rRNA from 1 species